rnacentral:rRNA from 1 species
AAGGCGUAGCAAUACGCUUGUAAAGUGGCGAACGGGUGAGGAAUACAUGGGUAACCUACCCUCGAGUGGGGGAUAACCCGCCGAAAGGCGGGCUAAUACCGCGUACGCUUCCGGUCUUGCGGGACCGGAAGGAAAGCUGUCCCAAGGGGAUGGCGCUCAAGGAUGGGCUCAUGUCCUAUCAGCUUGUUGGUAGGGUAACGGCCUACCAAGGCAUCGACGGGUAGCUGGUCUGAGAGGACGAUCAGCCACACUGGCACUGCGACACGGGCCAGACUCCUACGGGAGGCAGCAGUGAGGAAUAUUGCGCAAUGGGCGAAAGCCUGACGCAGCGACGCCGCGUGGGGGAUGAAGGUCUUCGGAUUGUAAACCCCUUUCGGGAGGGAAGACGGCCUUAGACAACUAAGGCGGACGGUACCUCCAGAAGCAGCCACGGCUAACUUCGUGCCAGCAGCCGCGGUAAUACGAAGGUGGCAAGCGUUGUUCGGAUUUACUGGGCGUAAAGGGAGCGUAGGUGGUUAGGUAAGCCCUCCGGGAAAUCUUCAGGCUUAACCUGAAAAGGUCGGGGGGGACUGCCUAGCUAGAGGGCGGGAGAGGAGCGCGGAAUUCCCGGUGUAGCGGUGAAAUGCGUAGAGAUCGGGAGGAAGGCCGGUGGCGAAGGCGGCGCUCUGGAACGUUUCUGACACUGAGGCUCGAAAGCGUGGGGAGCAAACAGGAUUAGAUACCCUGGUAGUCCACGCCCUAAACGAUGGACACUAAGUGCCGGCGGGUUACCGUCGGUG